GUUCAUGCAUUAUAUAACUCAGGACUUGUGACUAGCUACUAUGCUAUGCUGUUGGCACCGUUUGGCAGAAAUGUUGAUCUCUGAUUCGUUAUAUAUAUUCGCCCAACUUUGUGACUUCGCGUAAUUGUUAUGUGUGUGUGUUUUGUCUGAGUACAUGACAUGCAGGUCGUCCCAAGAGCCGACUUGCAAUGAGACAGUGCUUCAUUUACUCUUCAAACAAUCUUAGGCUGUAUGAGUUGAGAUUUUAGAGGAAACUGAAAGUAGAGGCUAAGCAAGCAAUCCAUGCUGAUUACGAUCUAUUGGUGAUUGUGUUCAUCCUCGGAGGAUUGGUGGAAGCGUUCGGUAUUUCCAUGCGUUGGGAUCAUGACAGCAUCUCUAGCAUUGCAAUUGCGACAUGGAGGGGCUACCAAUGAUUCAACCUGAUGCAUGGGAAUCCAGCUGGGAAGGUUUCUUCACCUUUUGUUAUUUGGCUUCUCGGUGAAUUCUCUUUUCGGUUUCUCUGUAAACUCCAUGUAUGCUUGGUCCUUCUUGUAACAAAGGUGAGGGAAGAAGAAGUGCAAUAUAGACUUCAGAUUAGUUUCACAAAAGUUAUCAGUUCAUAAUGUUAACAACAAGAAGAUCCUUGUUUUGUUGUCCUCUACUUAUCAACCAAAGCAGUUAGGUUCAUCUAAGAAAUUGACAUUAAAAUACCAUCCUGGCCGGCGCUACACUUUUUUCACUAACAAUUUAAAACUGCUGCGGGUAAUUGACAUUAGUUAGUUAAUUAAAAGCUUGGACCCUAAUUU
rnacentral:lncRNA from 1 species